GGGGUUGACAGCUGGUCUGUUCGGAGCCAGAUUGUCCAUGUUCCAUCAGGAACUAUGGCGAUAAAGGCGCACGCAAUAAACGGAUCGGACCCGGGGGCGGUACCCGGCGGCUCCACCAUAUUGAACGAAUUUGUUUCGUUGGAACAAUACGGGGCCGAAACAGGAUCGACGAACGCGUAAAGGUGGCAGCUUUCGCUCGGUGGGGUACCGCCGUUAUCGGUCCAAAGGGCACAAUUGCCAACGACAAUCGUGCUUCGGUGGCUCUCGCUGCGUAGCAGUGCCGAGCGAACCGAACUUUAGUCCGGCGCCCUAGCAAGCGUCGGCGGGGUUUGCAGGCACCUGGCAACAGAAGCCUGCGGU
rnacentral:tmRNA from 1 species